rnacentral:rRNA from 1 species
UACAGAGGUCUCGAGCGUUGUUCGGAUUCAUUGGGCGUAAAGGGCGCGUAGGCGGUGAAGUAAGUCUGGUGUGAAAUCUAGGAGCUUAACUCCUAAACUGCACUGGAUACUGUUUUGCUUGAGGACUGGAGAGGAGAUUGGAAUUCACGGUGUAGCAGUGAAAUGUGUAGAUAUCGUGAGGAAGACCAGUGGCGAAGGCGGAUCUCUGGACAGUUCCUGACGCUGAGGCGCGAAGGCCAGGGGAGCAAAUGGG